AGUGAACGCUGGCGGUAGGCCUAACACAUGCAAGUCGAACGGCAGCACAGUAAGAGCUUGCUCUUACGGGUGGCGAGUGGCGGACGGGUGAGGAAUACAUCGGAAUCUACUUUUUCGUGGGGGAUAACGUAGGGAAACUUACGCUAAUACCGCAUACGACCUACGGGUGAAAGCAGGGGAUCUUCGGACCUUGCGCGAUUGAAUGAGCCGAUGUCGGAUUAGCUAGUUGGCGGGGUAAAGGCCCACCAAGGCGACGAUCCGUAGCUGGUCUGAGAGGAUGAUCAGCCACACUGGAACUGAGACACGGUCCAGACUCCUACGGGAGGCAGCAGUGGGGAAUAUUGCACAAUGGGCGCAAGCCUGAUCCAGCCAUACCGCGUGGGUGAAGAGGGCCUUCGGGUUGUAAAGCCCUUUUGUUGGGAAAGAAAAGCAGCAGGUUAAUACCCCGCUGUUCUGACGGUACCCAAAGAAUAAGCACCGGCUAACUUCGUG
rnacentral:rRNA from 1 species